UACAGAGGGUGCGAGCGUUAAUCGGAAUUACUGGGCGUAAAGCGCACGUAGGCGCGUAACAAGUCACUUGUGAAAUCAUCCCGGGCUUAACCCGGAGCGGCCAAGUGAUACUGUUGUGCUAGAGUGCGGAAGGGGCUACUGGAAUUCUCGGUGUAGCGGUGAAAUGCGUAGAUAUCUGGAGGACACGGUGGCGAAGGCGGCAUCCUGGACCGGUAUUGACACUGGAGGCGCGAAAGCCAGGGGAGCGAAAACGGG
rnacentral:rRNA from 1 species